rnacentral:lncRNA from 1 species
UCGUUUUUUUUCAAAGCAAGAAAAAAGUUUCCAGUUGCCAAGAAUUGAAGCCGACUAUCUUAACUAACUAGACUAGAUACAACAUGAUAAUCAAGGAAAAAUAAUGGAAAGACAAGUUUUCUGACUGAAAACCAAAGGCUUGAUUCUCUUUCCUUCUUGUCCUAUUACUGAACUUCCUCAAGAAUUUGCCUUCCUCGGCCUUAGAGUAUUAUCUCUAAGAAAGGAUCUCCGAUAUGUCAAGCAUCACCAGAAAAUACCUCCGAUAUGUCAAAAAGUAUAUCAUCGUCGUUGUCGUCUUCAUCAUCACUGUAAAUAAUCCUUGCAGCAGAUUGCUCUCGUCCAGCCUGUCUUUCUGAUCCCCCAACAUUAUGCAAAUCGCCAAAAGUACUCACAUUACCCUGACCCUCAGCAGUAUGAUUAUUUGCAUUCCUCCCUUCAUUCACCCCAG